rnacentral:lncRNA from 1 species
GGCUCUGCCGCAAGUUACCAGAUUGCACACCAUAUUGAAGGAGUUAUUGCUACUGGUCCCGCUGGUAUGCUUGCUGGGGCUACUGUUGCGGUAGCUUGUGGUGUUUCGAAAGGCGUUAGGAAAACAUCAAGCUCCUGGUAACUUCUGCCUGCAACUCAUUAACGGGACUUCAAUUACAUCUUACUGAUAAGUAUGAACCAUGUUAAGAAGAUCUCAUAUCCCAAUAAACUUAAAAGUCAAAGCCAACUAGUGCUGAUAUUCACCUAUAUGCAAAUAUGAAUUAUUUAGCAUCUUUUUUUUUAUAUAAAUACUAAAAAUAUUAUGAGGGUAGAAAUUGCAUAUUUGGUAUAUAAGUCUGUGUUUGAAAAUAAUAUAAAAUAAAUAAUAAAAUAUAUGAUUUGAAACUAAUAAUAACAAUACAUAUGUAAAAUGCACACAAUUAAAAUGAAAAAUUAAUUUAAAUUGUGAGUAAAAAAAAUUUAAAUAGAUAAAUACAUCAUAUUAAGAAUAUCAAAUGUAAUCCAAUUACUUAUCAUUGGUAUUGUUAUUUUUCUAUAGCACUUAAAAUGUUAUUGUGUUAAUAUGUUUAUCAAAAUGUUAUCAUAUUGGUGAAAGGAAAAUUCAAUAUUAAAAAUAUAUUUUUUUUUGAAAAGAUACAAUAUUGAGUUGAUCCAUGACAUUAACUCAAUCAACCAUAAUAUCUAUACUAGAAAUCUUAUUACAUGUGUAUACGUGUGAAAAUCAUGUAUUUAGAAUAUAAAUUUGUGUCUAAAAAUAACACACAAUAUAGUUAAUGAAAAAUAUGAUUUGGAAUUAAUUAAUAAUAACAUAUGAUAUAUGUACGAUACUAAAAUAAAAAAUUAGAUUAAAUUAUGAGUAAAAUGAAAUUUAAAUCACAUCAUAUUAAGAAUACUAAAUGAAUACAAUUGUUUAUCAUUAUUUUGUCAUCAAUCCUGAGUUGAUUUUGUGUUUGUUAACUCGAUUGAUCAACUCAAAAUCUCCAAGAAGGAAGGAGAAUUGGCCUUUAAGAAAAAUGGUGGAAGCAAUAAAAGAAAAUGAAACAAUGAACAUAAGAUUUUAUAGUGGUUCGGCCCCAAUUAAAAAAUUUACAAUUUACAAUUUUUAAAAGGAAAUUUACAAAUUUUAAACGAAAUAUCCAUGAUGGUCGGUGGUGUGCUUUUGAAAACUUUGUCUAAGGGCUGCUCUGACUCUCCAUAUAAUUAUUUCUAGAUAUGUGUACUUGUAGCGACUCCUAAUAAUAAUAUUAAUAAGGGAUGAAUCUCAAAAUUAUAUAUGAACUUUAACUUAAUGUGUAAUUAUAUAUAUGAACUUUAAUUUAGUGUAAUUAUACACGUGAAAUUCUGUUUUUGAAAGGUAAAUUCAUUAAUUCAUUAAAUGAAUGGAAUCAUACAAUUCGGAGGAAAAAAACAAACACUCUUCGUAGAUGGUGAAAGAUAAGCUCCAUCAACACAACAAAGGUUUUAGCUUUAAUAUCAAUAAAACAUCAUGACACGUUGACAAUUGGCUUUGUAAUAACUCAAGUACGACAGAUCUGGAGUGCUUGCAAAUACUUAAUACGAUAAAGAAAUCAGUCCCGAAUGAUCCAAAAUGGGGAGCAAAUUAAAAAUUGACAAAAGAAUCGAGCUUUCACCAAACUAGAGAGGAUGGCAACAAAACCAUCCCUAAAAUUACUUGUAAAACUAAGGUUACAUGCAUAAGUAAUACUAAAAAAUGUUCUAUAAGAGCAGAUAAAAACUUCUAAAACUAAAAAUAUAUUAAACAAUUGAAAAACAAACAAAAAAAUAUAAAACUUAAGAAAGCACGGAUCCAAAUCGACGUAUGAAAUAAUUUAUUAUUAAGAAAAACUAUUGAUGGCCGGUGGAGUUUUAGCGAACGACAAACGUCGUCAUCUGUCGGUCACAACUUGUGAAAACAACAAAGAUACCCACAAAAUAAAUCUGCAAACUGAAAAGAGAAAAGACAUGUGGAGUGAAUGAGAAGAAUGAAGAAAGAAAGGGCUAGUAUGUUAAUUAAGUUUACGGGAGCUUUUUCUUAUAUUUCUAAUUUUAAAUUUAACUUUGUAUGUUAAUUAAGUUUUAGCUCGAUUGGCAGGAAUAUUGUUAUCAAUGUAGGAGGAUGUAGGGGUUAUGAAUAGUCCUAGACAUUGUCCGAAAAUGAGCAUACAUAAUCAGAGCAGUUUUUUCUUUCGAAAAGUGGAUGUGGGACAGGGCGGGAUGAACUUUUUCUUUUGGAUAGUGGGUAUAGAGCGGUUAUGGUAAUUGCCUACCCCAUCCGACCUGCUCCACUGUAUGAAUUUAUCAUUUUAUCGUUGUAUAUGUAAACUAUUAAAAGAGUAAAAAUGUAAUAAAGAUAUAUAGAAAAAAUACAUACAAUUUGUGUUUAAUUUUUUAAAAAAUUAUGUUUAAAUAUUUACUUGACUACAAAAAGAUUGAAAAUAUUGAAGAUAAGUAGCAAAAUUUAAAUUGAAGCGGAGUGAGAUGGGUAGGGAUGAAUUAUACUUCCAUAGUACAAUGGGACGGGUGAUAAAAACAAAAUGUCUCAACUUGUCAUUAGGCUUCUUCAAUACACUCAUACCUACUUUCUUUAAAUUUAAUGGUACCAAUAUGCGAAAUAUCAUAUUUUAAAGUCCUAGACAUAAAAGAAAGAGGAGCGUUCUAAGUAACACUAUGUGCAUAGAAUAAGGUGUAUUAGCAAGAUCGUGAGUUGCCUUAUUUAUAUAUUAAAAUGUGUUUAUUUGAAAAUUUUAAAAUUGAUCUUUGAAAAAAAAAUGAAAAUAUGUGAAAAUAAAAAAUAAAAAAACUAUUUUCAUAGUUUUCACUAACUAAAAAAAAGUUAUUUUUGUUUGAUUUUCACCAUAAAAAGUAAAAUUUUUAAAAAGGAUUUAUUUUUAUUAUUUUUUUGAACUUUUAAGAUUCAAGAUUAUAUUGAUAGACUAUGUAAAGUUAAACGCUAAAUUUUUUAAUUGUUUUAGAACUUUGACCAAAUUAAUAAAAUCUGUAAACAUUAGAAGGCUAGAUUUGUUACUAUAUCAUAAGAAAAGGUCACAUUAAUGUUUUGUUAAUGAUUUAAUGAAAUAGUGACCAAAACAUCAAAUGUCGAUAACUAAAAUAAAACUUUGUGGACCUAAGUGGCUAAAAUAAAUAUAGGUUAAUAAUUAGGUAACUAUUAUAAGAAUUUUACGAUAGAGACUGUAAUUUGAGAUGAAAAAUUAGAACAGUUAAAAUCAAAAUUUAAUUAAAAAUAAUUAUAUAACUCAAUUAAGCCUUAUUUUAACACAUCACUUCAUGUAGAGAUGCAUUUUGUAUUUGCGUAAGAACAUUACUUUCUGCAGUUUUUUUUACUUGAUUCUCUAUUAUUUUUGGUUUCAAUUCUUCCUCAUUUAUUCCACCUAUAAAAUUGUUUGAAAGGACUAUUUUGAAAUUCCGUAGAAUUAUUUUAUUAUAGAUUCUGAUCAUAUUUGUACUUUUUGAUAUAAUGUUUAGAAUUAUCUAUAGCCCUUACUCAACCCAUAAAUAAGAGGAUAAUGCGAUUGAAGUACACUUGAACCUACGUCCUCUUGCAUUAACAACAAUACUCAUACCAAUCGAAUUAAUACUCAAUUAACCUUUAUUCGUAAAAUUAAAAUAACCAAAAAAAAAUGCAAAUAAAUCAAAGGAAAAGUAUAUAUGCCAAAGAUAACAUAGUGCAAGCCUUCCAGACGACAUUUCUACAUCGUCAUAUGCCUCAGGUCAUAUUAUAUUCUUUAAAUUUUCGCUCUUCAUAUAAAGUAAUUUUCUUCUCACUCAUCCAAUGUUAUCAAAGAUUAGUAAAUGUAAAAUUCCAAGUUAAAUUCUAUUUCUUCAUGUAAUAUAUGAAAUUAAUUUACAAAUUUAGAUUUAAUUUUCAGCUUUUAUAAUAUAUAUAUAUUUUAAAUUUUCGACACAGACUUGCAUAUGGAAAAUAAAUAAAUGUAUCAAUAAUUUAUAAUUAAUUAUUCUCUCUAUUUAUUGUCUAAUAUUCAUCGAGGUUGAUAUCAUGUGCAUAAAUUUUGGUCCUAUGGUUUCAAAAAGGAAAAAAAGUUUUAGAUAAAAAUCGAUAACUCAUCUAUUCUUUAUGUAUGCUUUUAAAAAAAUGUAUGUAUACAUUAUAAUAAUUGACACAUUAAUUGAUGUUAUGAGUUAAUUAGACAUUAAUUCAAUUACAAAAAAUUUUUAAAAAUAAUUUUUUUAAAAACAAUAAAUUUUAUUAUAAGAAUAUUUUAUUAUAAAUUUUAUUAUAAAAAUAUUUACGAGAAAAGAUUAUAUGAAACUGUGAUCCCACGUCAUCCUUAUCACUUUCUAAUGGAAGAAUAAAAAAUCAGAUUUUUCCUCUUGAUUUUUAGCUUUUUCCUCCUGAAAAAAAAUUAAAUCCAACUAAAAAUACUAAAAAUCAAGAGAAAAAAUCUGAUUUGUCAUUCUCUUUUUAGAAAGGGAUGAGGAUAAUAUGAAAUCGUAAUUUCAUACAAUCCAUUCUCUUAAACUAAAACUUUAAAAUAAAUUUAAAAAAAUAGAUAAAUGUUAAGGUUAAAAAUUCUUUAGAUAAAUGUUGGUUUGAUUUUAUAAAAUUUUUCAUAGUGACUUGUGUAUUACAUAAUUCAAUAUAUAAUUUGUUAAUGUCAACUUGGAUCAACAAGGAUUUGGACUGGCAGUUGAGUUGUGAAAGUGAGAAGGCCUGCAAGAAAGAAAGAAAGAAAGAUGAGUUAUGGGUAGCGGGAGUUAAUAUUCCAAUCGCUCUUUGAUUCUUACGUUAAUGGUUUUUGUUUAGGAAAAAUGAAAAAAGGUACAAGAUGAUGAAUAGUUUACAUAAUCAAAAGGACUCCCUAGAGGCCUUUGAUGUUUACCUCCUUACCUUUCAUGUGACAAUCCUCUUAGCCUUGAGGUCCAAGGUGCAUCGAAAUUGGUGCAUCCAAGGUACAACAUAAGUUGAAACUGCUCUUGUAGCUGAAACCAUAAUUUCUCCAACAGAGGUUUCAUCUGCACCACAUUUAUAGAGCAAAAUUUAUGAUUAACAACUAUAUUUUCCAAAUAAUUUAAAUUUAUUUCAAAUCUACCCGUAAAAGAGCUAAAGGGGUACAGGCAGUAGGGGCAAAAUCAUGUCAAGCAUUUACAUUGGUAUGUAAACUGGCACCAUUGAAGGAACGUUUGAUUCCUUUGAACAAUAUUGUCUAGCAAGCAUAACCUCCUUUCCAAAACUUUCAAAGCAUAAUUAUAUGUUUUCUCUUUAUUANNNNNNNNNNNNNNNNNNNNNNNNNNNNNNNNNNNNNNNNNNNNNNNNNNNNNNNNNNNNNNNNNNNNNNNNNNNNNNNNNNNNNNNNNNNNNNNNNNNNNNNNNNNNNNNNNUGGGACAGCCACAAAGCAAACCAAGCAAACCAAGGUUUCCUCAACCAGGGGAUCACAUCUACUGUGAAAGAAAGGGAGGUCUCUAUGAUCACCAUGGUUUGCUUCUAUUUCUUUUCAAUUUUUUAUCCAUAUACCCAGAAGAUCAUAACAUGUAUACACACACAUAAACAUUGGGUGUUUCUGAUUGAGCACUGCAGGAAUAUAUGUGGGGGACGACAUGGUGAUUCAUCUCCGGGGAGCAGCCAAGAAACUUGGGGAGCUACCUGCAUGCCAUAAAUGUGGAGACAAGCGAGUCGAAAAUGGUGAAAUAGCAAAAGUAUGCAUAGAUUGUUUCCUUGAUGGUGCAACGCUCCAGAUCUUUGACUAUGGAGUUCCCCUUUUAGAGUUCAUUGCAAGAAAACGUGGUACUUGCUGCCAACACGAUUCCAAGCCUCCCCAUGAAGUUAUUAGCACCGCAACUGAUUUACUUGAACGGAAUGGGUUUGGCCCCUACGACAUGCUUACUAACAACUGUGAGCACUUCGCUGUGUAUUGCAAAACAGGCUCUGCCGCAAGUUACCAGAUUGCACACCAUAUUGAAGGAGUUAUUGCUACUGGUCCCGCUGGUAUGCUUGCUGGGGCUACUGUUGCGGUAGCUUGUGGUGUUUCGAAAGGCGUUAGGAAAACAUCAAGCUCCUGGUAACUUCUGCCUGCAACUCAUUCACGGGACUUCAAUUACAUCUUACUUAUAAGUAUGAACCAUGUUAAGAAGAUCUCAUAUCCCAAUAAACUUAAAAGUCAAAGCCAACUAGUGCUGAUAUUCACCUAUAUGCAAAUAUGAAUUAUUUAGCAUCUUUUUUUUUAUAUAAAUACUAAAAAUAUUAUGAGGGUAGAAAUUGCAUAUUUGGUAUAUAAGUCUGUGUUUGAAAAUAAUAUAAAAUAAAUAAUAAAAUAUAUGAUUUGAAACUAAUAAUAACAAUACAUAUGCAAAAUGCACACAAUUAAAAUGAAAAAUUAAUUUAAAUUGUGAGUAAAAAAAAUUUAAAUAGAUAAAUACAUCAUAUUAAGAAUAUCAAAUGUAAUCCAAUUACUUAUCAUUGGUAUUGUUAUUUUUCUAUAGCACUUAAAAUGUUAUUGUGUUAAUAUGUUAUCAAAAUGUUAUCA